rnacentral:ribozyme from 14 species
UCUUCUUCUUCUUCUUUGAUAUUUUUGUUGUUUUUCUUCGUGUUCUUCUUCGUCUGUGAUAAUGUGAAAGAAGUGAGAGGAGAAGAAGAAACAACAACAACAUCGAACAGAAUAAACGCGUGCGGAAUGAAUU